rnacentral:tRNA from 1 species
GAAAUAUAGCUCAGUUGGUAGAGUACUUGCCUCUUAUGUACAAGGCCCUGGGUUCAAUCCCAAGUAUACA